UAAUACGAAGGGGGCUAGCGUUGUUCGGAAUGACUGGGCGUAAAGGGCGCGUAGGCGGCGAUGUAAGUCAGGCGUGAAAGCCCCGGGCUCAACCUGGGAACGGCGCUUGAUACUGCGUUGCUUGAGGACGGGAGAGGAUGGUGGAAUUCCCAGUGUAGAGGUGAAAUUCGUAGAUAUUGGGAAGAACACCGGUGGCGAAGGCGGCCAUCUGGACCGUUUCUGACGCUGAGGCGCGAAAGCGUGGGGAGCAAACAGGAUUAGAUACCCUGGUAGUCCACGCUGUAAACGAUGUGUGCUAGACGUUGGGGGUUAAGCCUCCGGUGUCGCAGCUAACGCGUUAAGCACACCGCCUGGGGAGUACGGCCGCAAGGUUA
rnacentral:rRNA from 1 species